CGCGUAGGCGGUUGGGUAAGUCGGAUGUGAAAGCCCCCUGGCUCAACUGGGGGAGGUCAUUCGAUACUGCCCGGCUUGAGGGUGAGAGAGGGAAGUGGAAUUCCCGGUGUAGCGGUGGAAUGCGUAGAGAUCGGGAGGAACACCAGUGGCGAAAGCGGCUUCCUGGCUCACCCCUGACGCUGAGAGCGCGAAAGCGUGGGGAGCAAACGGGAUUAGAUACCCCGGUAGUCCACGCCUUAAACGAUGAGGGCUAGGUGUUGGUGGGAUUUCCCAUCUGUGCCGAAGCAAACGCGUUAAGCCCUCCGCCUGGGGACUACGAACGCAAGGCUGAA
rnacentral:rRNA from 1 species